rnacentral:rRNA from 1 species
GUAGGGAAUCUUCGGCAAUGGACGAAAGUCUGACCGAGCAACGCCGCGUGAGUGAAGAAGGUUUUCGGAUCGUAAAACUCUGUUGGUAGAGAAGAACGUUGGUGAGAGUGGAAAGCUCAUCAAGUGACGGUAACUACCCAGAAAGGGACGGCUAACUACGUGCCAGCAGCCGCGGUAAUACGUAGGUCCCGAGCGUUGUCCGGAUUUAUUGGGCGUAAAGCGAGCGCAGGUGGUUUAUUAAGUCUGGUGUAAAAGGCAGUGGCUCAACCAUUGUAUGCAUUGGAAACUGGUAGACUUGAGUGCAGGAGAGGAGAGUGGAAUUCCAUGUGUAGCGGUGAAAUGCGUAGAUAUAUGGAGGAACACCGGUGGCGAAAGCGGCUCUCUGGCCUGUAACUGACACUGAGGCUCGAAAGCGUGGGGAGCAAACAGGAUUAGAUACCCCUGUAGUCC